ensembl:lincRNA
AUGGCAGGGCGAAGGCCGAGGCCGCCAGCGACCUGGUCUGCGCCUGCGCGGGGGCACACCGUACUACAACUCCCAGAGGGCCGCGCGCAGCCCCGCGCGCCUGCCCCGCCCGCCGUCAGGUGGCGCUGCGGCGCGGGUUCAGGUUUCCCAGCGCGCGGGCUUGCUCUGGCCAGGGCCGUCGAGGACUCGGGACGCGGGCAGGCCCCGACCAGCCCGCAGCGGCGAGGGCCUCGGAGUGUUGCAGGGCGGCGCGGCCGCGAGGAGGCCGCGCGAGGGCCUCGUGUGUUCCGGAACAGCUCCCUGUGUUCACAGCGGGGGCUGCGCCGCCAACUAAAACGGAAAGAAAAACGCAGAAUUGGAAGCGAACCUUCAGGAACCAGACGUGGCUCAAGCGACCGGCUUCCGUCCACCCGGGCUGGAUCCCGGCCCCCUGGGAAAGGCUGCCAGGCCUGCGCCGCGAGCCACGAGCAAGAUGACGCAACGCCAGGAGAGCUGCUGCAGCACCAGGAGCUGAGGUGGCGCCGCCACAGGGAACCUCUCCACACCCAGGGCCCCAGGAUCAAUCCCGGUGAAGCCCAGAGGACACGAGAGAGAAGACGAACAAGAAAGGGACGAGAGCAGGAAGGGACACCCCAGGAGCCCAGACACAAGAGCCCGUGGCAGUCACCACAUCCUCUGUGCCCUGAAUGGCUCCCGGGAUGUCUGUUUCCUGUGGUUGGCAAGAAACUGAACAGUGAAAACUGUCUUCAGCCAGGAGCAUGAUGCAUACUGGAGGACCUGAGAAACCAGCAGGCAGCCGUGGGGGCAAAGAAGCCACCCUCGGCUUCAGGGGACAGGAGGGAUGGGCUUUGUUUUGUGGGACAUAUUCUCUUUUUCAAGUGCCUCCUUUCCUUCAUUUAACUUAAUUUUUCCAUUACCACAUAGUAAAAUCAAUGUACGUAUAUGUAUGUGCAUGUACAAGACUGAAUUUUCGCACGUGUGAUCCAUGAAACCCCCACCGCCCUAAAAUGACCCCCUCGUGCUGCCCUUUAUAGUCACACCCUUCCCCUCCCAUAACCCUGCCUGGCAAACACGGUCUCUUUUCUGUCACUCUAAUUUUGCCUUUUCCAGAACACCAUAUACAAAUCACAGUACAGAAACUUUUGUGUUUUUCUUGAGGUACCAGGCCCAGGGACUGAACCCAGGACCUCGUAUGUGGGGAGCUGGCGCUCUACCCAGAACCUCUUAAAACUGCCCUUUUUCACUCUGUAAUGCCCUAGAGACCCAGCCAGUUUGUUGCAUGGAUCAAUAAUAGUUCAUGCCUUUCUACUGCUGGGUGGCAUUUCAGUGGAAGCAGGUACCACUAAUUGCUUAUCCAUCCACCACUGAAGAAAUCUUUGGGUUGUUUCCAGGUUGAAACUAUGACCAGUAAAGCUACCACAAACACUUAUGUAUGCGCAUUCAUCAUAUUUGGGUAAAUUCUCCUGAGUGGGAUUGCUGGGCCACAUGUUAUGUGUAGAUUUAACCUUCUAAGAAAUGGCCAAACCGUUUUCCAGAGUGACUGGACCAUUUUACAUUCCCACAGCAAGGUGUGCGGGACCCACUGCUCUGCAUUCUUGCCAGCACUUGGCAUUUCAACUCUUUUUAAUCUUAGUCAUUCUAGUGAGUAGUGGUAUAUCAAUGGCUUUUUUAAAAAAGAUUUAUUUACUCUAGUUUUCUUCUUUACCCCCUCCUCCCCCAUGGUUCUCUCAUCUGUCUGCUCAGUGUUUGCUCACCUUCUCCCGGAGGCAUAGGGAUGGAACCUGGGACCUCCCAUGUGGUAGGCAGGCGCCCAACUGGUUGAGCCACGUCUGCUUCCCUCAUGAUGGUUUUAGUUUGCCUUUCCCAAGUGGCUAGUGAUGUUCAUCGUCUUUUCAUACGCUUAUGGGGAUUGUAUCCUUUUAAAAAGGAAAGCGCUCGGCUCCUGUCCCUUUCUCCUCAGGUGUGAACACAGAAAGCAGGUGGGAGGCAGCUGUGCUGGAGGCCAUGGCAGGCAAGGGGAGGGCCAGGGAGGCAUGGGUGGCCCCGGGGCAGCUGCAGGCUGCUGGCAAGGGGAUGCCCAGACUUAGGGGAGAAGGAAGGAGCCCGUGGGCUGAGGAGGGGUGGGGAGAGGCCGGUCACGGAGUCUGCUCCACGCGGAGGGGAGGAAAGGAGCUGCUGUCUUCUUCCCCGAUUCGCCAUGGACGCUGGCUCUUCCGUAGACUCCGUGGUUUUCAACGCCAGCCCCUGCUGGGCCUCUCCCGCCACUCUGAGCUCCAGUCCAUGAGGAUCCCCUCCGUUCUUGGCACACGCCACGGCCCUGUCUCAUCUGCAGGCCUUCCAUGCGCAGCUCCCGCUGCCAGGGAUGCCCCACACCCCCUCCCAGCCCCUUCAGGACGCCCAGGAUUCGCCUGCAGGGGUGUUUGAGGGCUGGCGAGGCCCAGAGGGGCCUUGGCCCACAGAAAUCCUCAGCGCUCCGGCCCUGGCCGUGCUAGCACGAGGCCAGGGGCACGCACGUGCCUGCUGUCCCCAGGCCCACGGCCGUUUGGGGUGGAACAGCUGGCGCCACGUUGCCGGCCCCUCCCCAGCCCAUGACCCUCAGCCUGGCACUGGGUGAGGCCGUCAGUGCUUCCCAGGACACACCUGUCCCCCCACUCCUC